rnacentral:lncRNA from 1 species
CUUUUGAUCCCCGUUCUUCUGUUCCCCAAAUAAGAAGCAUCCUGUUAGCCAACUGACUUUGUAAGAUUCUGUCCAGAGGCUCAGCCCCACGGCUAGAAGGGAGGGCCGGGGAACGCGAGAGAAGGGAAAGAAGCCUGAACCAAAGUGCGAGCACGUGGUCCAGGUGUCCCGACGUCGCACCAGCCUGGGGCAUGGAGGGG